CCUACGAGCGGCAGCAGUGAGGAAUAUUGGUCAAUGGGCGAGAGCCUGAACCAGCCAAGUCGCGUGAAGGAUGACGGCCCUACGGGUUGUAAACUUCUUUUGUCAGGGAGCAAUUGAGUCCACGUGUGGUCUUAGCGAGAGUACCUGAAGAAAAAGCAUCGGCUAACUCCGUUCCAGCAGCCGCGGUAAUACGGAGGAUGCGACCGUUCUCCGGAUUUCUUGUGUUUCAAGGGUGCGUAGGCGGAAUAUCAAGUCAGCGGUAACAAUUCGGGGCUCAACCCCGUCGUGCCGUUGAAACUGAGGUUCUUGAGUGGGCGAGAAGGAUGCGGAAUGCGGGGUGUAGCGGUGAAAUGCAUAGAUAUCACGCAGAACUCCGAUUGCGAAGGCAGCAUACCGGCGCCCAACUGACGCUGAAGCACGAAAGCGUGGGUAUCGAACAGGAUUAGAUACCCCGGUAGUC
rnacentral:rRNA from 1 species